rnacentral:rRNA from 1 species
GCUCAGAUUGAACGCUGGCGGCAGGCCUAACACAUGCAAGUCGAGCGGAUGAAGGGAGCUUGCUCCUGGAUUCAGCGGCGGACGGGUGAGUAAUGCCUAGGAAUCUGCCUGGUAGUGGGGGAUAACGUCCGGAAACGGGCGCUAAUACCGCAUACGUCCUGAGGGAGAAAGUGGGGGAUCUUCGGACCUCACGCUAUCAGAUGAGCCUAGGUCGGAUUAGCUAGUUGGUGGGGUAAAGGCCUACCAAGGCGACGAUCCGUAACUGGUCUGAGAGGAUGAUCAGUCACACUGGAACUGAGACACGGUCCAGACUCCUACGGGAGGCAGCAGUGGGGAAUAUUGGACAAUGGGCGAAAGCCUGAUCCAGCCAUGCCGCGUGUGUGAAGAAGGUCUUCGGAUUGUAAAGCACUUUAAGUUGGGAGGAAGGGCAGUAAGUUAAUACCUUGCUGUUUUGACGUUACCAACAGAAUAAGCACCGGCUAACUUCGUGCCAGCAGCCGCGGUAAUACGAAGGGUGCAAGCGUUAAUCGGAAUUACUGGGCGUAAAGCGCGCGUAGGUGGUUCAGCAAGUUGGAUGUGAAAUCCCCGGGCUCAACCUGGGAACUGCAUCCAAAACUACUGAGCUAGAGUACGGUAGAGGGUGGUGGAAUUUCCUGUGUAGCGGUGAAAUGCGUAGAUAUAGGAAGGAACACCAGUGGCGAAGGCGACCACCUGGACUGAUACUGACA